ACGGCCAUUAAAAUUAUUAAUUUUGAGCCCCUUCGAUCACUAGGCAAAUGAUAUCGAAAAAUCACAAAAUUUAUUUUCUAGAUACUUCAAAUACUCUAGAUCAACUCUAACGGAGCCGAUCGUCGAUUCGAAAGUCCGAACAUCGAAAACAAAUUGGAAGCACAGAGGGCUCCGUGCUUCCAUAAGCAUACUAGCCCACAAAUUGAAAGCACAGAAGGCUCCGUGCUUCCAUAAGCAUACUAACCAUCUCUCUCUCUCUCUCUCUCUAUAUAUAUAUAUAUAAUUUUGCGUUUGCAGCAAUUAUUUUUUUCAUACCAUACAAGUAUCAUAUUGGACAGAUAAGAUGAACACGAUAAUUCAUUUGAUAUAUCAAACAUAUAAAAUAAAUUAUUAUGUCCCUUU
rnacentral:lncRNA from 1 species